rnacentral:rRNA from 1 species
UACGGGAGGCAGCAGUGGGGAAUAUUGCGCAAUGGGGGAAACCCUGACGCAGCGACGCCGCGUGGACGAUGAAGGCCUUUGGGUUGUAAAAUCCUGUUCUGGGGGAAGAAACCUUAAGGGUCCAAUAAACCCUUAAGCUGACGGUACCCCAAGAGAAAGCUCCGGCUAAUUAUGUGCCAGCAGCCGCG